UCCGGUGGUUAUAGCUGCAAGGAAACACCUCUUCCCAUUUCGAACAGAGAAGUUAAGCUUGCAUACGCCGAUGGUACUACAUGCGCAGGUGUGUGGGAGAGUAGGUAGCUGCCGGUU
rnacentral:rRNA from 1 species